CUACCUGAUAUCCAUUCUUAGACGCUCGGCUUAUAUACAACCCAGAACUAGACCCUUGCCAAUAGCACCACAGUCUCCGUUGUCUCCCUAAUUCCAUCUUUGCACUGCUCUGAGUCAUGCAUUGUUGCCGAUGGCCGGACGCAACCAUCUCCCUCCUAAUGCCUCGAAACACCGGCAACCUCCAAUCGACGACGCUCGCUUCCAUCUUCACCGCCUCCCUCUCUCCGUCGUUGCCAAUCCCACCACCGCCCGGCCCCACCAUCCAUCAACUAUUCUCGAAGACCGAAUUGCUAUCCAGCACCGGGAGAUUCAAUCCCUUCUCCUUGACAAACAACAACUGGCAGCCACUCAUCUUGCUUUGAAGCAAGAGCUUGCUCUCGCUCAAGAUGAGCUUCGACACUUAUCGACUGCUGCGGCUGAUGUAAAGGCAGAGAGGGAUGAUCAGGUGCGGAAGGUUUAUGAAAGAUCGUUGCAAAUGGACUCGGAGGUGCGCUCGAUUGAUGCAUUGAGAGCAGAGCUUGUUCAGGUAAGGAGGGAUUGUCAGAAGCUUACCCUGCACCGUCAGGAACUUGCUGCAGAGUUGCAGGCUAUUAAUGGUGAUCUUCUUAAGGCAAGAACGGAGGCACAAGAAGUCACUGUGAUUAAGGGUGAGAUUGAGGCCAUGCAACAAGAGAUUCAAAGAGGAAGGGCUGCCAUUGAAUGUGAGAAGAAGACUUAUGCCAGUAAUCUUGAGCAUGGAAAGACAAUGGAGCAGAAUAUGCUUGCAGUAGCUCAUGAAAUUGAAAAACUUCAUGCUGAACUGGCUAGUGCAGGGAAAAGAGCAACAGCAGCAGCAGCAGCAACAAAUCCAAGUCCUGGAUACGCCGGAAGCUACAGCAAUUCUGAAGCUGCUUAUGGAGGAAAUCCAUGCCCUGAUCCUUAUGUCAUGCAUCAGGUUCACACUGAAUAUAUUUACUUCCUUUUUUUGUGCAGUGUUGAUUUUAGCAAGUCAUUUGUUCGAUUUAAUGUUAGUUUAAGAUCAACACAUGUACACUGUAAAGCUCUCUCAAGAAUCAAGAUCUCAAUGAGCAUGUAUGAUCCUUUCCAUCCUCAAUUAAUUUUUCAAACAAAGAUACCAAAAAAAUUCAUCAACUUUGAUGCUAUAGUCCACUCAUUUAUUCAAAUUGCUUUUAAUGAAUUCAUAAUGUAAAUGCAUUUAUACAGUAAUCAAUUUGCUGGAAAGUGACAAUAAUUGAAGAGAAUGAGUCCCACAACAUCUGUGCAGCUAGAUUAUUGAUAUCAUAAGUAUCAUCUCCCUCAAAGGUGAGGCCUUUUUUGGGGUUGAUGGGGAUUGAUGAGCUUGAUACUUGAUUGCUUGUAUGCUAGAGAUGUUAACUAGAUUUUGUCCAAGUUAUUAUUCUUAUUUUUCUUCUAAGUUACAUAACUUGAAAAGGCUUCUUUAUGAAAUUUUCCUUUAUUUGGAUAUGGUAUUUCUAGAUUUCCAUUUUUUAUGGGAACCCAAAAUGUGUAAGAAAUGAACAAAUGGAACAUGUUGAAACUUGAAAAGCAGCUUGUCAUCCGUGUAAUGGAUGAAGGACCCAACCAAGCUGCUUGUUGCCUAUCAUCCAAUCAGAGUUUGCAAAAAUUUCCAUACUGAAUACCUUCUGACUUAAUGCCAAUUAAGUUGUUACCUUUCAAGCAAGAGAUGUGGAUACUUAUAUGAACUUUCUUCACAUUUUAGGUUCAAGGUGGUACUGAUGAAGGCCCCCCAAUUGUGUCUGGAUGAGUACAGAUCAAUCCUUGUAAUGUGCAAUGAACACGAGCAUAUAGAGCCAGAGUUGAACAAAAUUCAGUCUCAAGUGUCAACAGAUACAUUGUCUGACUUCUGCAGGAGGCAACUUUUGAUGGUGAGAACACAGGUACAUCGACAUCUCUAAAGUUUGCCGUUAGGGUCUGCAUUUUUGACAUCUGGUCUCUCUCUCUCUCUCUCUCU
rnacentral:misc_RNA from 1 species